CCUACGGGAGGCAGCAGUGAGGAAUAUUGGUCAAUGGACGAGAGUCUGAACCAGCCAAGUAGCGUGAAGGAUGACUGCCCUAUGGGUUGUAAACUUCUUUUAUAUGGGAAUAAAACGUUCCACGUGUGGGAUUUUGUAUGUACCAUAUGAAUAAGGAUCGGCUAACUCCGUGCCAGCAGCCGCGGUAAUACGGAGGAUCCGAGCGUUAUCCGGAUUUAUUGGGUUUAAAGGGAGCGUAGGUGGAUUGUUAAGUGAGUUGUGAAAGUUUGCGGCUCAACCGUAAAAUUGCAGUUGAAACUGGCAGUCUUGAGUACAGUAGAGGUGGGCGGAAUUCGUGGUGUAGCGGUGAAAUGCUUAGAUAUCACGAAGAACUCCGAUUGCGAAGGCAGUUCACUGGACUGCAACUGACACUGAGGCUCGAAAGUGUGGGUAUCAAACAGGAUUAGAUACCCCAGUAGUC
rnacentral:rRNA from 1 species